rnacentral:rRNA from 1 species
CCUACGGGAGGCAGCAGUGGGGAAUUUUGCGCAAUGGGCGAAAGCCUGACGCAGCAACGCCGCGUGAGGGAUGAAGGCCUUCGGGUCGUAAACCUCUGUCAGAGGGGAAGAACCGCCAACAGGAUAAUACCCUGUUGGUCUGACGGUACCCUCAAAGGAAGCACCGGCUAACUCCGUGCCAGCAGCCGCGGUAAU